UUUUUGAUCGCCGUAGAGAUACGGUUUCCCCUUUGGGGCGGGUUCACAGGUGGUGCAUGGUUGUCGUCAGCUCGUGUCGUGAGAUGUUGGGUUAAGUCCCGCAACGAGCGCAACCCUCGUUCCAUGUUGCCAGCACGUCGUGGUGGGGACUCAUGGGAGACUGCCGGGGUCAACUCGGAGGAAGGUGAGGACGACGUCAAAUCAUCAUGCCCCUUAUGUCUUGGGCUUCACGCAUGCUACAAUGGCCGGUACAAUGGGUUGCGAUACUGUGAGGUGGAGCUAAUCCCAAAAAGCCGGUCUCAGUUCGGAUUGGGGUCUGCAACUCGACCCCAUGAAGUCGGAGUCGCUAGUAAUCGCAGAUCAGCAACGCUGCGGUGAAUACGUUCCCGGGCCUUGUACACACCGCCCGUCAAGUCACGAAAGUCGGUAACAUCCGAAGCCGCAUGCUAACCCCAUAGGGUGAUACCUUGAUCAU
rnacentral:rRNA from 1 species